CUCCGUUAACUUCCGUUUGAUCAAAAUCUGCCCCAGAAACUUGAUUCUCUCUUGUUCAAACAGGCAAAUCGGAUGGUUUCGUAAGUUUCAUUCCGUUUCUCCGUCGUUAAUGCUGAAACCACCAGUUUGGUAAAUGAUCGUUCCAAGUUCACGGAGUGGAUACAACACACGACCAAGGAAUCGCGGUUCGCUGAAUGGAUCCGCGAGAAGCCGUUAGAUGACAACCCACGAUUUUCCUUAAUAAUGUUCGUCCACUGUGAUUACGCCGCUAUUAUCUCUCUGGAUCGUAAUACUAUUUUCAUUAAUAUUUUUCAAGCGAACCGAGAAGCGCGUGUAUACGUUUCAUCGUUGAAUUGAAACGGUUAUUUUGAAAACCGAUAGAUCCAUCUGUGAUCUAAAAAUAAUAACGAGCAUUAUUUAAAAUAAAUUACGCACGCUAUCGUAUGUGCUUCGUUAGCUGUGCUCGAUUAAAUCUUCAGGUAUUAUCGGUUUUUGUUGAUGGCACAUGUGAGUUUUGCAUUCGUAACCGGUUGCAGAAGAAUGUUGUUAAACCGAAGCGUCUCUCGCAGAAUUUUCUCGAUUGCACUCGAAUAACGUGCCUAUAUAAUAAUUUACGUUACAAGUUUGCGUAAUCCGAAGUUAAAAUGUUAAAUAUAAAUUUAUCGAAAUAUUUAGAUUUGCGUUACGCGAAUGACCGACGUGGUGUACCGUAAGCUUUCGUGUUUGAGUACAACUAUGUAAUGGCAGGGGAAAGAGGGGGCGAGGAAGGAACUCAAAUCGCGUGUAUGGCUCAUUAUUGUGUCGUGUAUUUCCUUUCACAUCGAGUGCACCGUUACCGAUAUCGCUUUACAAUUUGUUAUUUUUUUUUUUUCAUACAAAAAAGGAUGAUUCGAUGAUCAGCGCGGCUACAUGUCAUUCCGUAACGUUCGUCAAUCGCGUGGAUGAGAUCGGCGAACGAUCAUUGUCGUUACACGUAUUUCAUACAUAUUUUUCUUUAUCUUUAGCGUAACCAUCUCCUUCAGAAUGAAUAUCAUACAAAAUCUAAGGCUAUACGUAAUUAAUCUUAAUUCCUUCGUUUUAUAUAUAUAUAUAUAUAUACGAACGUAAUGUGGUAAUACGACACACGCGGCGUUGAUUUUUAAUUGUAUCGGUCUCUUAACGUUUAAAGUAAUUUACAAAAGUCCAGUGUUAUCGUGGAUCAAUGAGUGAUUUUUCGGAGACGGCGGUGAUAGGCCCUGAUUUUUAGAACGUUUACAUUUUUCUUUUUAUGCGUUUCUAAGAAAGAUUAAGUGUCUUCGAUAUCACGAGAUCCGGGUGAAAAUUCGUGAUUACCGGCAAAUCGAUUUAACCUGUGGCCGAGUCUCACUUUGGAUGUUUGCGCGUGUUUCAGAAACCGGAAACAGUAUGUAUAUGCGACGAAAAACGUUACAAACUUAGCAUCCAAGUUCCUUGAGCGACAGAAAAUCUGUUUCUCGGAAUAACGGUGUACAAAGCACCCUGACAGUCUCAUUUGUUAUUGAUUACGGAUUAUUAUCGUUAACGUCGAUUUCGGAAAAGUUUUUGAACGAUGGCUACGAACAGUAGAAAAAUUCUAUUCCCACGGAGAGUAGGCCGAAAUACGUUUUUCGUAAUCUUAUCGUUUAAACCGAGUAUUGAUAAAUCGAAACGCAACCGGAAGUGAGCUCAGAUCUACAAUCGUACAAGCGAUGAAACACAAUUUACCGAAUGUACAUUAUCGAUUACUAAGAAUAAUUAAUCUCGACGAUAAUUGUAAAUAUACCAUAUCAGAAAGAAAUUAAACUACGAAAAUUCAUAGCACAUCUUUACAUACAGUGUACAUACAAUAAAACCUACGUACGUAUUUGUACAUGGUAGUACGAUACAGUAUUCGAUUAUUAACGUUCAGAAUUUCUAUUCGACGCAGCUGAUCGUCGAGCAAAUAAAAGUCGAUGCAAACUACUCGUUGAACAUUAAUUUAACGAGUCUAUACAGGUCGCUAAUUAUAGACUAUGUAAAAUAUCUUUAUUGCUAUUUUAACGAAGUAAGCAAUUUCUCUGCGACAGCUAAUUAAUCGUAAAGAAUACUUUUCGUUAAUACUUUUCCUUGAUAUCCUUCCAAGGAAUCUUAAACAUUUGCUCCACAGUUUUUCGCGACAAAGAAUGAUUGUUGGGAGUACGGAACAAAAUGUAUCUUUUGAUGAAAUGAAAGCUAUACAGCGUGUUUUAAUAAAAAGCGUCGUGUCUUUUUGCUUCGAGUACAUAUGUAUCAUUAAAAAACAAAGAAUCGCUAUGAAACGUUUCGUAACGCUAGCCGCUAUAUACAUUGAAAGAGUAAUACAUACAUAUCGUCAGUAAUCAUAAAGUACUAAUAUUUUGACGUCGUGCGAAUAUCCGAAUCUAAAUAAAUUAGGCUAAAUCGGACGCCUCGCGUGCCGAUCGAUGUUAUUUAUAUAUGUAUAUAUGUUCAAGUAUCGGUAAUAAAACUUAACGAACUUUGUUAGUUUCUAAUCGCAGCACUGUUCGCGAGAAUAAAUGUGCAUAAAAGACGCAACGGUGGUUUACCUUUACGAGACUAUUUUCAUCUACUGUUUACACGAUGAGAAUCCUCUGUAAAAUCUCUUUAAAAAUCCAAGUAUAUCCGUAUCAAAUGUAAAUAUUCAAAUCAGCGGUGAAUCGAAAUUACGCGUUAUAAAAGUACAAGAUCGGUUGUAUAAAAACUGGUCUCCAUAGCCAGGUGUAAAAAAGUAAGGGUUGCGAUUCGUUACAUCUUAAACUCAUCAGUCGCAUAGAAUAUCACAGGAACGUUAGUAGGUGCCACUGAAUUUACACACACUAGACAGAAAAUACAUCCAUUACGUGUACACGCGUUUAAGCAAAUACAGCAGAAUCAGAAGAGAACCGUAAAAUCCUUUUAUUUCAACCGAAUUCGAGUUGAAAACCUACGUGUGUUAUUAGUUCCAUCUAACAAAUCAUUCGGAGCUAAUUUCAAAACAAUAUUUUACGCGCGUUGCGCUCAUCGAUCGAGAACUGCACACAUAAAACAUUGAUCUGAAGGUAUUUCCUUGAACGAAAAAAAUACAAGUAACGAUUAAAGCGCUACGAAAACGAAACGUAAGCAUAUUGAAUGCCCGUGACGAUAAUCUUAUUCGAUACCAUUUCAAAAUUCGUUUCUUGUAUCAAAAUUGUAAAAAAGUUUUUAGUGCAAGCAUCUCAACUUGCAACAAACAUCGUGCUUGGCUAGUCUUUCCUUUCUUUUCUUUUUCUUGGUGUAAUAAGUUUGUGCUGCUAUCAUUGACGUCUGCAUCCAUUACAGUAGAGAACAAAUGAAUUACUUCGUCAAAAUACUUGAUAGUCGGUUUCUUCUGUAAACGUGUUUAUUUCAGUUUUAUACUCGAUGAUUAUUUGUCAAAUGCAGCACAAUCAUAUUCACGAUUAUUCAUUGCCAAGGCAAUAGGAGAAUUUACAAAAUUCCACGCUAAUUCAUUCGAGUACUAUGGUUACAAAAACGCGUUUAGCGCGAAUGGCAUCAUUAAUGCGAAGAUGACGCAUUCUCCGUUAAUCGGUUGUUUAUUUUUCUGGCCACAAGAGUACUUUGAACGACUAUCGAUUUGAGAAAACCGCCGUCUCCUCUUUAUCUUUACUAGCUUCUUAGUCGUACGACAGAUGCCAUGCACACGUUCUUAUAGGGCACGCUUCGCUAUAAUUUGCACUACAUGUUCCUAGCCAGUUACAUAGAGCCACUUACCCCGUGAUCAGUUAAAGUUAAUUUCGGAUCUAUUAAUUCAUUAAAUUUCCACGAAUUUUCUCUUUAUUCGAAUAAAAGUAAACGCAUUAACACAGCCCUACGUAAUAGUAAUGUGCGCCGUCGUAAAUAUCCUUUCUUCGUAAGAAAAUGGCAAACGCGAAAUCGUCGUUAACUUUAACUUGUAUCCGAGGUAUCUUCGCGAUAUAAUAGCAUGCUUACAUUUUCAAUGUGCAUCUUAUAAAAUAACAAAUGAUCAAUAUCAAUGUAGCUGAAAUGAACGGAGACACGGUUGUUUUGCUAUUUUAAUCAUUGUUUUCGAUUGGGUCGUAUCAGAAUCUGGUCGCGAUGAAAAUAAACAAAAAAUUAUAUAGAUCAAUUUACAACAAUACUUUUAAUCAUUCUAAUUCAUACACUGCUUGUAAAAACGUCGAUAUUUCUUUGCGCACAAGGUUCGAAUGCACGACGAGAAUAAUAUAUGUAACUACAUAACGAAACUGUAAUUACAAUUUGAAAAUUGUACGCCGCAGCAACGUUCGGUUACACUUAUCAUUCUCUUGUUAUGCAUUUUAUUUUUAUGCAUGUAAAAAAUACGAUUCAGCUCGACGAAAUAUGAAUUAAAAACGAUUGCUAAUUCCGCAAGAAGUUCUUAUUAUAUAAUAAAAUUGCUGAUUCUAUAAAUAACAGUUAUUUUUCUGUACUUAAACAUCACUUAUUUUUUCUCAUUGGUAGCAAUAUAACGAUAUAAAUUAAAACAGGUUCGUUACAGAUGAGAGACGCUGUCCUUGUAAAUUUUGCUUAUAUGAAAAUAAAUGGCUUAGUCGUUUCGGCACACAUUACGAUGCCUGUCUCGGUAAUAAUAUCGAAUCAGAUAGGAGAUUCUUGUAUGAGUAUUGUGCGCGUUAAUUCGACUUACAACGAAAUAUUGUUUACGUUAAAUGAUUUCUUGAGAUACAACGAUUAGACAAUACGUUUAAGAAUUUCUAUUAUGAUCGAAAUAAUAAUACAUAGUAAAUAAAGUCAAUGCGAAUAAAAAAGAAAAACAAUAUCACGAUGCCUGUGGCACUGUAUCAAUGACAAAAUUCUACUGAAAUAUACACGUAUAAAUAUUUAUGUACAAAUAUAAAAAUCUGAACAAAAGUGGUAUGAAAUAUCUCUCUGAUUUUGAACACUACUACUGUAAUAUGCCCAAUGAAAUCACUUACAAAGUCGUAUCCAAAAUAUGCCUACAAAAAGAAAACUAAGAAAAAGAAAAAAAAAGAAAACUAAGAAAAAGACAUUAAUUAUAGAUGUAAUGUUCCGUAGACACAGUAACUUUACGCUAGAACUCAAGCAGGCAGAGAUUCAUAGGCACUUCGUACCUUCACAGGACACUUAUACAUACAUGUAUAUCAAAUGUGUCAUGAGCAUAAAAACAAAUAUUGUCACAUUGUUCAUUAAUACGUAAGCAACAGCGACAGGCGAUAGUAAUGAUAUAACUACAGACGAUGAAUACACGUCUCUUAGACUUCUAUCGAUUAUAACAUAAUCGAAACGCGUACUAGCAAACUAAUUAGUUCUCGUGUAAUGAGCUGGUUAUACACACAUAUACAUCGAGUCUGGGAACGUGCAUUGGCACAGAGUGGAAUGAAACUGAUUUCGAGAAAAGGAAAGAAAAAAAUGUUUGACGACCGAUGUGAUGUAAAAUUUAAUGUGAUUGUCCCCUGCCACAUGUGAAUGGCUUAGCAGCGCGCGUGCCGGAAUUAAAACUUGACUAGAAAUGAACGAGCGUGCGAAGGAAUACAAUGUGCUGAUUUCCACAAUUUUCCGUACUCCAAAGGUUCCAUUUUUUUUUUCUUUCCUUAUUUAUAUUAAUCCCGUCAACUUAUUUUCAUUUUUUCCAUUUCAACAUUAAUCGCUACAAAGUAGAAUACUAAAAGUUACAGGCAGUUCUCGUGUCUGAGACAAGUUUCUCGUAAUAUACGUCAUAAUAUCUGUCAUAAAAGAAAAUUGUUCGAGAGGCGUUAAUUACUUCUACGAACUACAUUUUUUUUCAUUUUUUUUUUCUUUUAUACAAAAAUUGUUGUAACUCGAUGCUUCAAGUUGAAUCAGAAUUAAUUGACUGUCCAAGGUACGUAAGCACAUAAGCUGAAAUAACGUAAAAGUGAAAGUUGCACUUGAUGGGAAACGACCUCGAAUAGCCAAAUGAUUUUUAUUCAACUCGGUAAUAUAAAUUCGGUCUAACUAAUAAGAACUGUCCAUGUCUCUUGGUAUUCUCAAAUAAAAACUUAGCUUCCUUUCUGCCGCGUAAGCCCUCCAAUUAUGCGCGAUAUUUUAUCGAAGACUUAUAAAGCACAUUCGCGGGCAUGCCACGCGCACAGGUAUCCGUUAUUUCCUUGCAUGUGAAAAAGUAAAAUAUGAUUGUUCCGUGUUUUACGGACUUGCAGACGUUUAGAUGUAAUAGAAACAAGGUACAGAUAUCUUUUCGCGCGUUUUAAACUGAAGAAGAAUAUCAGUCUUUCUUUAGGAGAAAAAUUAGCGUUGACGUGCGAAACACGCUUAUAUGUAUAUGACACCAUAUCUUACAAAUAAACUUACGCACAUGAACAUGCGCUAUCGUUAGUAUAUCGUAAUGUAAGGUGGAUCAUAAUAGCGUUUGAUCUCUCAUUGUCACAUCGAAUGGUAGAAUAACAACACAUGUCGGUAGAAACGUUUGGAAGAAUACAAGAGUUCUAGUUCAGCCUUAAACCAUAUCAACUUGUUCGUCCAUAUUUGAUCGUGCUCGAUGAUACACGUAACAUAAAAGUUUAUCGGCUUUUAUGAACGAUAGUUUCGACAUACCAAUGCAAUUUGCAUUUGCACAGUGAGCUUGGAUAUUGUAUGAUUCUUACAAUAUAAAAAGACGAUCAAAUAAUAGAUCGGUAAGCUACAUGGUCCAUUCGUCAGAAUGUUCGUAUGUCUUAUAGAAACAUGCUCGAUUUUUCACUAGUUCACCAAAUAGUCGUAUUUGUUAAUUAAAAAAAUCACUUACUUUGACAUGUUUAUGCUCUCCCCGAAUGUUCCAUUUCGAUCACAAAAAGUUUCGAUAACACUAUUUCGUGUUUUUUCUGUUUGUUCUCGAUAUUAUCGAUAAAAAACGAGUCAUUCGAGUAGCUUUACAACAGUUGUCAAGGGCGUGGUAUCACGAGGGUUAUCACUGCGCUGCACUUUGUAACGAUCAACCAACCAACGGUCGAGUUAAUCGUCAAAAUUACCAACGAACCAAUUGUGCAUUCAGUUUAAUCCUACGAAAUUGAAAAUGUGUGGUUUUUACUGCUUAUUCCGUAUCGUGCAGGUCUUCAGUUCACAUAAUUCAACAGUCCGUGCAUAAGCCGU